GACGAACGCUGGCGGCGUGCCUAAUACAUGCAAGUUGAGCGCUGAAGGUUGGUACUUGUACCAACUGGAUGAGCAGCGAACGGGUGAGUAACGCGUGGGGAAUCUGCCUUUGAGCGGGGGGCAACAUUUGGAAACGAAUGCUAAUACCGCAUAAAAACUUUAAACACAAGUUUUAAGUUUGAAAGAUGCAAUUGCAUCACUCAAAGAUGAUCCCGCGUUGUAUUAGCUAGUUGGUGAGGUAAAGGCUCACCAAGGCGAUGAUACAUAGCCGACCUGAGAGGGUGAUCGGCCACAUUGGGACUGAGACACGGCCCAAACUCCUGCGGGAGGCAGCAGUAGGGAAUCUUCGGCAAUGGACGAAAGUCUGACCGAGCAACGCCGCGUGAGUGAAGAAGGUUUUCGGAUCGUAAAACUCUGUUGGUAGAGAAGAACGUUGGUGAGAGUGGAAAGCUCAUCAAGUGACGGUAACUACCCAGAAAGGGACGGCUAACUACGUG
rnacentral:rRNA from 1 species